UUGUGGCAGUUGCAUUACAGAAGAAUUGAGGAAUUGCGAGCACACUUCAAUGCUGCUGCUGCUUCUGUUUCAGCAGGAUCAAAUACAUCACAGAACGGUAAAGGUCCAACACGUGGUGGACCUGAUCGACUUACAAAGAUCCGUACUCAAUUUAAAACCUUCCUGUCAGAGGCCACGGAUUUUAUCAUGAUUUAAUGUUGAAGAUUAGGGCGAAGUAUGGUUUGCCAUUGGGUUAUUUCUCCGAUGAUUCAGAGAAUCAGAUUCCUUUAUGUAAAGAUGGGAAUAAAUCUGCAGAAGUGAAGAAAGGAUUGAUAUCCUGUCAUCGUUGUUUGAUUUAUCUGGGGGAUCUUGCUCGUUAUAAGGGCUUGUAUGGUGAAGGUGAUUCUAAAUCUCGGGACUUUGCAGCAGCUUCUAGUUACUACAUGCAAGCAGCUUCCCUUUGGCCUUCAAGUGGCAAUCCACAUCACCAGGUGUUGUAUUUCUUGGCCAUUUGCUUGGUGAUUUACUCUUUUUUUUUUUUUUUUUUCAUUUUGAACAGGUUAUUAGUACAUAGCUUGCCUGAUUUAUUCUGUGAUCUAUUGCUUUUCAGCUUGCUAUUUUGGCUUCCUACUCUGGUGAUGAAUUGGUGGCCAUUUACCGGUAUUUUCGAAGCUUGGCAGUUGAUAGUCCAUUUACAACAGCUAGAGAUAACUUGAUUAUUGCAUUUGAGAAGGUGAGCUUUUCAAAAGAACAAUUUGUGACAAAGGAGCCUUUAUUUUCUUUUUGCUCCUGCUUUUAGACAAUUAUUCAUUUCAGUGCAGUGUUGCUACUUAAAUUGUGCAUAAAUCAUGGUUACAGUCAAUACUGGUUAAUCUCUGAUUCUCUACGUUGAAUAUCUUCCUGGGUCUCUGUUUUGUGUAUUUGGAAUGUCUAUUUUGACCAUCUGACUUGUAUGGUCCUGGGCAAAAACUUGUGUUGGAGAAUCUGCCAUGUCAUAACCAUUAACAAACCAGAGUUUCCAGCACUCGACACAACGAUCUUCCCUUCUAAGUAGUUCUAUCUCACUAAUUCCCAUAGCUCAACCAUCUCAACCCACAACCAUCGGCUGCCAACACCUGGAUGCCUCUUUCAACCCACCACCAUCGACCGGUAACAUCUGGAUCUCGAUGCCCGUAGACACCACAUUUUAGGGCAAUUUGAUAUCCUUCCACUAUUCUACCAGAUCAAACACCAACAGUACAAGAGACCCUAUCUUAUCCCUCUAACUGCCUUUCCUUCCUUGCUUCACCAUUAUUACAACCACCACACAACUCCCCUUGUGCAUUUGAAAGAGGUCUGUUGUGGUCAUUGGAUGGAGGCAAUUGUUAAGUAGUUGAUUCUUGGGUAAUAAAAUAAAGUUCAGUAUCGACUUGAAAUCAAGAUGUUAUAGCCCUGCCAGUAAAUUGAUUAUAGCAGGUUGAGAGUUUCCGAUCGUUCCAUUGGUUUAAGCUAGAAAGAAUUAAUAGAAUGGGAAUUUAUCUUAAGUUCCAUGCAUAUCUGGAGUUUAGCUUUUGUAUGGACAAUUAUAUCCUGCACUUUGUACAUGCACUUGCUCAAGUACUAUUUUCUUCUAAUGUUUUGUAUGUUUCUGUUAUUUUUGUUCAAAUUUGAAUGACAGAACCAUUCUUAAGCUGGUUUUUCCUGCUCCUGCUCCUGAUCCUUGUUUCCUCCUUGAUAAUGAAACAUGAAUGUUUGUCAAAAUACUGAUUUUAUGAUCUAUUUGGCAGAAUCGUCAGAGCUUUGCCCAGCUGCUCGGAGAUGCCAGAGCUUCCUCUGUCAAGACAACUUCAGUGCGUGGAAAUGGGAAAGGAAGGGGCAGAGGUGAAAGCAGGGUUGCAUCCAAGGAUAACAAAGUAGAAGCAAGUUCUGUCAAGGAAAAAACAUCCACCACAUUGGAAACUUUCAGGCAUUUGGGAUACGAUUUGUUCGGCUAAAUGGCAUUCUCUUCACACGCACAAGGUAUUACUUUUCUUGUUAAUUGUAGUGUUGUAAAUAUUCGGUACACUUAAUGAUGUGUUCUAUUGCUAAUUUGAAUCAGUUUGGAGACAUUUGGGGAUGUUUUUGCUUUGGUUAGAGGUGAUUUGCUGGAGCUUCUUUCUUCUGGGACUGAUGAGGAGUACAAUUUUGGGUCAGAUGCUACUGAUUGUAGACUGGCUAUUGCAGAAUGGUUGCUAUUCUCAUUUUCACCAUUCACAAUGUGAAUAGGGAAACUGAGAACCAGUCCUAUGCUGAAAUUCUUCAACGCUCGGUGCUACUGCAGAAUGCAUUUACUGCUACUUUUGAGUUUAUGGGCCACAUUCUUGAACGCUGCAGCCAAUUAAAUGAUCCUUCAUCGAGCUAUCUGUUACCUGGUAUAAUGGUUUUUGUGGAAUGGUUGGCUUGUCAUCAAGAUAUUGCAGUUGGAAGUGAAUUGGAGGAAAAACAAGCGAGUGCUAGGAUAUUUUUCUGGAACAACUGUAUCUCCUUCUUCAACAGGCUCAUAUCUUCAGGGUUUAUGUUUGUUGAUGAAGAUGAAGAAGAGACAUGUUUUUCUAACAUGAGCAGGUAUGAUGAAAGUGAAACCGCUAAUCGGCUGGCAUUAUCUGAGGACUUUGACUUGAGGGGAUUUGUUCCUCUUCUUCCUGCGCAACUCAUUCUUGAUUUUUCAAGGAAGCAUUCCUUCAGAAGCGACAGCAAUAAGGAAAAAAAGGCCCGUGUUCAGAGGAUUAUAGCGGCUGGAAAGGCUCUUGCUAAUGUGGUCCGGAUUGGGGAAGAGGGAAUUUACUUUGACACAAAAUCGAAGAGAUUUGUUGUUGGCGUUGAACCUCAAGUUUCUGAUGAUUUUUCACUUACUACUACUUUGGAAGCCCCAAAAUUAAGUGGUGUAGUGGAGGAUAAUCUAGUUUCAGGUCAAAUGACUCCUAGGGCCUUGGAGCAAAAGCCGCAGUUGUACAUGGAAGGUGAAGAAGAGGAUGAUGAGGUAAUUGUGUUCAAGCCAUCUAUGACUGAAAAGCAUUUAGAUGGGAUAGCUUUAAAUCCGACUUCUUCAGAGGUCUUUGGAUCUACUAUGAAUGCUGCCAGUAUAGGGGGUGAUGUUGGAUCUUCUCUAUCGGACGUGAGGGUUAUAUUGCACAGAAUGCUUUCAGUGCAAGCUUAAGGCCACCUACUUCCCUUGUGAAUUCUAGUUAUCUGCAACCAGUUCAACCAAGUACGACUUGGAUGGCAGAACAAGGAACUCUUGUGAAUGGGCUUGGUAAUUUGAAUUUGUUCGAGAAUGGGUUCAUAAAGAAACCUGAAUCGCAUAAACACUUUGGAGCUUUGCCAGCUCAAACCUUUCCUGUUUCCCUUCCAGACUCAAGUUUUGGCACUGGCAGCAAUUUCCCUAAUCAGUUACCCGAAACUGUGGUACCUUCAAAGCUUGAUUCAAUCAUGUCUCUAGGAGCUGAUAACAUAUCCAUGAAGCCUUCAUCAGUCUCACCUGCUGGGUUGAAGAAAAAUCCAGUAGGUCGACCUCUUCGGCAUCUCGGUCCUCCACCUGGCUUUGGUUCUGUACCAUCCAAAACUGUUGAUGAGUCACUAUCUGCUAUGUCCUUUAAGAACGAAAAUGCUACCAUUCCCCAAAUGGAUGAUUACAGCUGGCUCGAUGGCUAUCAGUUGCCUCUGGUCAAUAGAAGUGUGGCCGGGCUUAAUAGUUCUAAUCAUCCAGGACAGGGUUACCCUAUUGGUAGCAAGAGCAGCAGCUCAAUGGGGAUGCCGAGCUUUCCUUUUCCUGGGAAGCAGACAACUACAUUGCAAGUCCCAAUUGAGAAUGAGAAGAGUUGGCAGGAUUACCAGUUCUCUGAACAGAUGAAACUAUUCAAGGAGCAACAGCAGCAACUUCAGAAAGCAAAUCAGCAAUCUGCUGUGUUGCAACAGCAGUUCAGGGACAAUCUCUUUGGGAAGGUCGUUUCUUUGUGUGAGAGAUUAUGAAGGGUAGAUGGUAAGAUGCAUAACUUUCUGUUUGAGCCUCGUGUUCAAUAAAUACUCAAUUUUUUAUUUCAAGAUUGAAAUGCUUAUUUUGCUCUUUUCUUAUUUGUGAAGGUUGUGAACACUUUACAACAGCAGUUGUCCAGUUCUUGGUGCUGCAAGUUCAGCCAUCGUGCAUUUGCAGUGUGGCCAAUGUUAUUAAGUUUUUCUUGGAGCAUGGAUGGUCUUGGAAUCUAGCAGGCACCUGCUAUUGAACGGGUAUAUCUUUUGUACCCCUCUCUGUGGCAAGUGUAAAGUCUGAUUUUGUUGACCACUGUGCAGUUGUAUGGAGAUGGUUUAAGGACUAAAAGAAUAAUUGGAGAUUUAUGUUAGGGCAUAUAAUGAUUGGCGCAUUGUGCAUCUUACACGCUCUACUCAUCUCUUUGCUUGCGUUGCUGGUCUGUUUUACCAUUCUAUGUAACCUGUUACAAGCUAUGCUAUAGAUAAGUUGGAGGAUGUGGGGGAAUGAGGAUCAUUUCCUGUCCUUGCACUUCUAUAUAUUAAAGAAUCUUUGUGAUGUUCUGAGGAUGUGUGUGCAAUUCUUUAUGAGUACGUGCAAUUCUUUAUGAGUACUGUGAGUGGUGAUAGAAUAUUUUCUUGUGACAUUGCUAACACAUUUUUUUUUUAAAUUGCUGUGCAGCUGGUGCCGAGCUUUCCAGGCUGGUUGACACUGAUUAUGAUGUCGAUAGGUGCAAAAAUUGGGAGAUUUCUGAUAUUAAGUGCCUUGUCUGGUUGGAUGGGUUGGACGUGACUUCAGAUUUGGGAUUGUGGUGGGAAACUGGAAGGGAAUAAAAGAUAUACUAGCAAAUUUACCUGGCUCAUAGAAGGUAUUUAUGAGGAGUGUAGUAGUCUCUGCCGGGCAUGCCAUGAUGAGCAGUUCCCAUUGGUUGAAUGCUGAAGGUAAGUUUCUUGGCAGUCCCAUGUCUGCCCAGAAGUUCUCAAGUGAGAAUCAUGGAAGAUGGUUAUGUUAUAAUUGGAGUUAUCUUGUGGACGUUGGUUGGCAAUAAAUAUGCGAGUAUGAACGCAUACAGUAUUCAACUUUCAGGGUUGAUAAUAUAGACUGAUGCUGUAUUUGUGCUUUUGUGUUCUGCUGUGUGGACAAAGUGGUAUUACCACUGAGACUUGGAAUCUCUCUCUUUGACGUCUAGAGAUAUGUUACUUAUUUUGAUGUUUAUUCUAUCUUUCAAAUGUCCUCUCAGUUAUCGAAUCUAUGAAAGCAGAUAUCUUUUGUCCAUUGGUUGCCUUUGCAUAUUUUAAACGUCUGAAUUAUGAUAUUUUGUGGGAGGGGGGGGGGGGAAGAAUACUAGUGUAACCUCUCUAUGAAACUACUGCUAGAUCAGAAUAACCUUGUGCUGCGGAUCUAAAUUGCAAGUGUGUGACAAAACGAGAGAGAAAUUCUUCCUUUUGUUAGUUUGACAUUGUUUUAGCAGCUGAAUUGAAGGAUGUUUAGUUUGGUGUGGAAUGACAAUGCCAGAAGCGAUGGAGGAAUUUUGUUAACUGAACAUUUCAGACAACACUGAAAAUCUUUGUACUUGGUAAUUGAUGGCAUUUUCUGAGUGGUGAGGGGACGGAACUAAAUUCUCUGGUUCUGCUUCGGAAAGGGUAGAGGGUUUUACAAGCGUUUCCUGCUUGAUCACUGCUUUCCAUUUUUGUUUAAUUGCAUUUGAAGGUGGUAGAGAUGCUACCAAUUGUUGCUGGGAAAUGGGCUUCCCUGGCGCAACCUGAUGUUGUCAUUCAUUCUUGUUAGUCUCGCGAGACAAUGUGAUAUUGCGUUUUGUUGGAGAUGUAAAAGAAAUGUAUCUCUCUUUACCAUGUCUAUUUCAUUAUGUAAUAACAACAACAACAAUGAGAAUAAUAAUAAUAAUAACAAUAACAAUAAGAAUAAUAAUAACAAUAAUUACAACAAUAAUAAUAAUACUCCCUCCGUUCCACUUUGAUAGUUCUAUUUUUCUUUUUCAUCUGUCCCAAAUUGUAGUCCACUUUUCAAUUGAAGAAUGUAGUUGUAUUUUAAUUUUUUUAAAAUAUCCUUAUUCAAUGGAAGUUGUUGUUACUAUAAAUCUACUCCAUUUAAUGAGAGUUGAUUCUUUUUUUACCAUCAAUUCAAGUUCCCAUAAAAUUGUACUCUAAUAAAUGUGAGGGUAUUUUAGGAAAAUAGUUACCCAAAUUGAUUGUUCUAUCAAAGUUAAUUACUUUUUAUUAAACUGUGUGGAAAAAAGAACCAGGACUAUCAAAGUGGGACGGAUAGAGUAACAAAACACAGUUAGUUGAUGGGAGUCAUUAUUGUUUCGUUAUGAAGUUGGUGGUGCAACAAAUUACUAUAUCUUUUUACACAGCAAAUGAACUAGAAAAAUACCACUUGAAAGCAGAAAUUCCUGUCAUUCACAAGUUCCUUUUCAUGAAGGUGUACGUGUGUUAGUAAACACGGAAAGAAUAUAUAUUGUCCGCUGCGUUUGUGAUUUUGACCAUAUCAAAGAAACGUAAGAGGCUACUAAAUUAGUCUAGUCCUUAAAAUGUUGAUCAAGCAAUUAUUAAAAGUUUAGAAUAUCCCACUAGGUAAAUGUUUAUACUUAAAGCAAAAUUUUAAUCCUAGACAAAAUGCUAUAUCAAGACCAUGCCCAGCUGAUGUCCUGCUCGAUAAUCUAAUUUAGUAUUUGAACUUAAUAAAUUAAGAUCUUAACAUGUUUAGAAAUGUUUGAUAAUCAAAAAUAGAUCAUCUUAAUUAAUUAAGUGACGGUCUGAAUUGUGUAGGUAAAACUUUAUUCUAAAAAAUAAGUGAUAAACCAUUAUCAUUUAAUAUAGAAUGCAUUCAAAUGUUAGUAUUUUAGUAUUUACACUUCAAUAAAUUAAUAGAUUCAGAUAUCAGUUUUAUCAAAUGCACCCUAUGUCUUGUUCUUAGAUGGUGUGCACUUCGAUUGCUGCUACUAUUCUUAUACCUGAUUGAUGCUAAAAAAAAUGGUAGCCAUACUUGUGGUCUUCACUUUCUUCAUCGACACCCAUCCCCACUGAUGAGGUGAUUUUUGGGUGCGCAAGGCGAGUUGACAACGAGAUCACCUGUCAAAGUAGAGAAUGGCUGGGGUCUAGCCCUUCGGUCAUACUAAAGUCAGUUAUAGAUAAGGAGUUAAAGGAUAAACAGUAGUAGUGAAUCCCCCUUUUCGUGAGGGGUGAGAGGGGUAUUUAUAGUAGAGGAAUCUAUGGGGGAAAAUGAUGAAGUCUACUCCCUCCGUGGCACUAGGAGGAGGCCUAGGGCAGCGGUGUUAGGUGUAGACCUGAGCGGUAGGUAGGGUGCCUGGCGGCUACAUUCCUACCAAUCCUAAGUCGUGUAGGCAGCCAAGGUGUUGAGGAGCCGUAGAAAUAGGUGUAGGUGAGGUGGAAUACUAAUCCAAAAGGUCUCGUCAGUGACCUCGGUCGAAACGAAACGAGAUUUCUUUUAUUUGAACGAGAUGCUCGGACUGAUGGGACCUGAAUAGAUAGGGGUACCCCGAGGUCCUGAGCAGAUCGAGGUGCCCACACCCACCAAGUACAGCAACAAGACAAGCAAGGUACUAUUUUACUUGGCUUGUUAGCCCGAUUCUUACUCGAGCCACCAAUUUUCUUUGAUUUAGGUUAAAAAGACAAAAAGGAUUGUCGAGUAGGUCUUGAUAUAGUGGCUAAUCUAUAAAUUAGAUGUUCAAAUUUAAAUCUCUCUUCCCCUCUCCAUUUCUUAAAUUCCACCAUUCCUCUAUUAAAAAAAUAAUAAAAAAGAAAAGAAAUGGGAUGGUAGCUCAUUGUGCAAACUUUAUUAAUUUGUAGUCUACUUCAGGCAUCAUCACUUUGCAAAUUCGGUUCAUAUGUAUUUGACAUAAAAUGGACCCUUUUGAAUUUUAUGGUUGACAAAGGACAUUAUGAAACAGAUCAAAACUUCGUUAUUUAAUUCUGGAAUAGGAAGAAAAAUGGAUGGUUUUUAUUUUUUUAAAUUUUCUUUUGUUAGGGAGACCACAAUUUGUAUAGCUACUAAUGUCAUGUCACAGUCAUAGGCACUCAGAAUGACUAUUUCAAUUCAUGAGCUGAGAAACCAAAGAAUAAAGACUUGAUUAUGAGAACACUGAACCUUGUAAACAGUUUCUGGUGGCAAGAUUUUAUACACCUCUUUCUAUAAGUCUACAGUCCGCUAUCGCGAUUAGCGAACGAAUGUCUAACUCUGUGCUCUGUGUGUGUGUAAACAAUCAAAGAAUACAGGGGGAAGAAAUAUGUUUGUACAGAAAUAAAAAGAAUGAACAUAACAAGAAAUUGUCGUCUAAGCCACAGCCAUUAUGACACAGUUUGGUCCUCCAAGACGUAUUGGAGCAAUGCAUAAUUGUUGGUGGGCGUUUCAUCUUAGUAUAUGAAUCAAGCUCCAUCUUGUUAGCCUUAUGGAUGUGCUACAAAUAAGCAUAAGUAAGGGAUUGGAGGCUUGCAGUUGCGGCUGAUCCUUCAAAUGUCUUCUGCAAAAACUUUGAAUAUGUAAUCUCGAAAACGCCUCGAGUAUUGUUUAGGAUCCACAGCUGAUAUGGAAGUUGGAUCAUAUUGGAUGGACUUGUAUGCAUGCUCGAGCUUCUUGGAAAUGUCAUAGUCUUGAAGUAUGUCUAUGAUGCUAAAGAAUAUUAUUACAUCAUAGUAUUCUCCAGUUGGUUCUCCUACUAGCUGAAUUUCGCCAUCGUUUUUCCUCUCUGUCCUUUCAACCUUGGCAGGCAUAUUCACUCCCAAUCUGAUGCUAGCCCACCUGUGGUGACAAAAGAUUGUAAAUAUAUUUAGCACUGAAGGGUUACCGAGAGAUUGAUUGUAAUCGUAAGAGAUUGUAGAUGAACAACGGUAAUGUUUUUGUUGAAUAGGAUGACUAAUUACCCUGCAGGAUCCAGAAGCAGUUGAUCCAUGUCUGCUCUAGAAAGGCGGGGAAGAGAUUCUUCUGCACCACCAUUAUCUGCUUAAUGUGGAGAGACGUUUCUUAGUUGUUUCAAAAGUGAUAGCUUCUUUAAUUCUUGAUAAGGAAUUAACCAAGAAAAAGAGGCCAAUAACAUAUAACAGCCAAGAAUAAUUAAUGACUAAAAGAUGAUGAUGGUAUAUGAUGGCACAGGGCUUAAAUUGGUAAUUACCUGUUGGUGUUACACAACCAGGGGGAGUAUGGUCGCAGCUGUUUGUUGCUUCUCUGAAGUGAAGACCAACCAAAAGGCUAUAGUCCAUUAUCCUCUCCUGCUCGAGAAACUCACAGUCCCUGUCAACUUGUCUGCAAGAAGAAGUUUUGUUUUUAACUCCUUGCAAAAGGUGAAGCAGAAAAGGGUAGAGAAAUGACCAAUUUCUCUUUAGUUUGAGAUCUCAAUCCUCACUCUUUGGAUGCAAAUGAAGAUAGAAUUCUUAGGUUUGUCUGUAUGCAGCAUAUCAAGCAAGUUUACUGGUCUGAGAGUUUUUAUACUUAGCCCCAUUUUUUAUUAGUUUAUUUAACCAGUUUUAGGGUUUUGCCGCUAUUGCCAGGAGGUUAAAGGGGUGUUCUAUCGAGUUUGUUGUGGAAAAAAUAUCAAGUGACUUAGAACUCUUUUUAGGGGAUUCUGUCUUGGUUGUACUUAAAAUAAGUCCUUCUGGAGCCUGAUCUCAUGGUUACUAGUUAGUGCAAAUUGUAUAUGUGAUUUUUUUUUCUUCUAAAAGACUUGCAUUCUAUUGCAGGAUUUACUUCAAAAUAUUCAUGCAUGAUGGUUUUGAUGUGCUGUAGGUUCUUUUGCGGAUUAGAUGUAUGUUGCCAACGGGGUUACUGAUUUUAAAGUUCAUCAGUUCAAUCAUUUGAUGGAUAAUGACUAUUCCGAUGGAUAACAAUCCAGAUAAUUCAUCAAGGGAGCGUGUUCAAAAACUUUUUAACAAGGUAUGCUCAUGUGUCCCCUUGUAUUUUCUGUCAUUUGUAUGAUAAGUAGUUGAAUAGGCAUAAUAUCCGUGGUUGUAUUACAGUUACUUGUUUUCUAGCUGGAUAUCUUUCUUGCGGUGAAGCGUGGUAUUCAUUUAUUACAUUUAUUUUGGUUCAUGUGUUCCUUUAGAAUGUUGAGCUGGAAAAUAGGCGUCGUAAGGCAGCUCAGGCCAGAAUUCCUUCUGACCCAAAUGCAUGGCAACAAAUGCGGGAGAACUAUGAAGCUAUUGUCUUAGAAGAUCAUGCCUUUUCUGAACAACAUGAAAUAGAGUAUGCCUUGUGGCAGUUGCAUUACAGAAGAAUUGAGGAAUUGCGAGCACACUUCAAUGCUGCUGCUGCUUCUGUUUCAGCAGGAUCAAAUACAUCACAGAACGGUAAAGGUCCAACACGUGGUGGACCUGAUCGACUUACAAAGAUCCGUACUCAAUUUAAAACCUUCCUGUCAGAGGCCACUGGAUUUUAUCAUGAUUUAAUGUUGAAGAUUAGGGCGAAGUAUGGUUUGCCAUUGGGUUAUUUCUCCGAUGAUUCAGAGAAUCAGAUUCCUUUAUGUAAAGAUG
rnacentral:lncRNA from 1 species